GUGCCAGCAGCCGCGGUAAUACGGAGGGUGCGAGCGUUAAUCGGAAUUACUGGGCGUAAAGGGUGCGUAGGUGGUUUGAUAAGUUAUCUGUAAAAUCCCUGGGCUUAACCUGGGCAGGUCAGAUAAGACUGUUAGACUCGAGUAUUGGAGAGGGUAGUGGAAUUUCCGGUGUAGCGGUGAAAUGCGUAGAGAUCGGAAGGAACACCAGUGGCGAAGGCGGCUACCUGGCCAGAUACUGACACUGAGGCACGAAAGCGUGGGGAGCAAACAGGAUUAGAUACCCCCGUAGUCC
rnacentral:rRNA from 1 species